AGCUGAACUGAAAGUGUGUUUAAACCUGAAGCUUUCCAUGUUGUCAUAGCUGAACGGGUUCUGUCAUCGUCAGUGAACUGUCAGUGAGUUGGAGACCAUUUCAACUAUCGCAAAUCACUUGCAAUUUGAAGGAUUUUCUGCGUGACAGUGCCAAAGUACGUGCGAGAACCACGAGAACAACCGCGCCCCCUGCUGAUAUGGGUGUAAAAAUGCUGCAGUGCUUUCCCUUCUACAGACGCUGCAAGGAGAGGUGCAAAAGACAGUGCCCUCCUGAAACGGUAGUAGCAAGUGAAGAGCUGAAACCUCGGUUGUCCUCCACCACCUCCUGGGGCAGUGAAGGGGACAGCGGCAGCAGUCCGAUUUGCCCACAGGCCUAUUUUUCCCACAAGGCUCGGCUCUCACUUCGACACCAGAUGGAUAGCAACAUCAAUGCAGUGGACGCCACAUACUAACUUUGUUCUGCAAGUGGGUCCUGGAGUGUCCUUGAAAGUAAGCGUCAGAUUUACAGCCCUAAUCCAGUUUAAAUCCCUCAUUGGAGAGCUUUUGAAGGAAACUGGAGGAUGAGCCAUUAGGAGGAACAAGCAGCAUGGAAAUUUGCCUCUCCUUGCAUGCCCGUGAACACUCAUGAAUGUCAGCUGUAUGCAUUGUAACAAUGUCAAGAUACGAGUUUGAAGUUCUCUAACAUUAACGGUACAGCUGAGUGUAAUUUGGUAAAAGGGGAAAUUGUGGAACACAAUCUUAGGAGCGACGUUUACAUGAUCACCAACAAGUGCUUUUUUUUUCUAGCCUGUAGCAUCUGCCCUCCACAGUCUCUGCUAUAUGCAUCUAUACUAUCUGAACAGGAUGCUUGUGGUUGGUUUUAUCUGAGGAGUCUCUGAUAAUUUUAAAGGGAUAGUUCACCCAAAAAUAAAAAAUUCUGUCAUCAUUUAAUCACCCUUAUGUUGUUUUAAAACAUAAGUUUCUUUCUUCUGUUGAACUAAAAUGGAGAUUUUUUGAGGAAUUUUGGUAACCAGACAAUUGAGGGUAGCCACUGGGUGAACUAUCCCUUUAAGGCAAUUGUGUGUUUUGAGCCAGAAAUUAAUUUGUUCAGCAGUCCACCUAUUAUUUUGCCUGUCAAAUCCAACCACACUUUGCCUCGCUGAUCAUAACUUCAGUGUACUGUAAAAGCAUCAAAAUGUUUUUUUCUUUCACAUAAACAGGAAGGUUUCUAAAGGUUAUUUUGCUUUCUAUGUAAGUGCCAUUUUCUCUACCCUACAUGCUGUCCAUUAACAGUGUGCUCUGCUCUGUGUUCAUUUUCAUUAUGUAUAGAUUUCAGGGCUUUUUGAAAUAUGCCCAGUCAUAAAAUUUCUUUUUCUUUUUUUUUUUUUAAAAAACAGUGUUUUUUUCAUGAACUCUAUGUAACAUCAAACUAAUGUAUUAUGAUGGUUUUCCAGUUUCUAAAUCUUUAAAAGGUUUUCUUCCUAUUGUAUGUAUAAAACCAGUCAAGUGAAUGUUGAAGAUAUGUCAUGAAACAUCUAUGACUUCUGUUUCAACAUGUUUGAAAAACAGGUUUUAGAUGCUAAUGAUGUGCGUCUGGCCAUCUUCACUUUGUCGUGUGCACAUGUAUUAACAUUUGUGUUUUUUUAGAUAUUAAAUAUGUAUUUUUACACCCUGACCCAGAAAAAGAACAGAAGACACUGUUACACCUCUGAAGUCACAAUUAAUCUGAAAGAGAUAUUUUUGUAUGUUUUAUAUGAAACAAUGUGUAAAUCAAUUUUCUAAAUAAUAAUAAUAAUGAAAAAGACAGCAAACUAAAUAAUAUAGCACAUGUACUUUUGCUUUCAUUGAUGAUUGUAAAACAAUAAAACUUUGUCAAAAAGAAA